rnacentral:rRNA from 1 species
UACGUAGGAGACGAGCGUUGUCCGGAAUCACUGGGCGUAAAGCGCGUGUAGGCGGGUCCGCAAGUCUGCUGUGAAAACUCCUGGCUUAACCGGGAGAGGUCGGUGGAAACUGCGAACCUGGAGGACGGUAGAGGCUGGUGGAAUUCCCGGUGUAGUGGUGAAAUGCGUAGAGAUCGGGAGGAACACCUGUGGCGAAGGCGGCCAGCUGGGCCGUACCUGACACUGAUGCGCGACAGCAUGGGGAGCAAACAGG